rnacentral:lncRNA from 1 species
UUGGAUUAUUGUGAGAAGAUAUUAAGAGUUUGUUAUCAAAUUUUGUAGAAGAUUAUUAAUGGAUAGAAGAUUAUGAUUAUUGUUUAUUGAGAGUUAUGUGUAUUUUGAUAGAAGAAGUUUGUGAUUAUAGAAAUUAUGUGAAGACAGAUUUUUUGGAGUGGAAGUUUAUUAUUUUUGGUGUUGGAUGGAAUUUAUGUAUUUGGAGCGGUCUUUUAAGACAGUGCGAGAAUUGUAUUUUGUUGUUAUCAAUGAUUAUAGAGUACUAUUAGGAAGUGGAAAGUAUUGUAGUAUUAUUUGGUGUUUUGAAUGAUUUAGAAUACGAUUAAUUAUAUGACCUUAACAAGUAGAACUCAUAUACUUAGUCUUUUCCUAUGUUUGAAUCUCCCUAAACAGGUUUAUUCUGAAAAGAAUUUCU